rnacentral:tRNA from 1 species
AUGAUGUGCUUAAUGGAAUCAAGAGGAGAGAGGUCGCCAACGGAGAAGUGUAGUGAUGUGUCUGAGGUGAUAAUCAGUCUUGAAUAUACUCAAUGGCAAAGUAAGCUCUAUGCCCAACAUGGGGCCGGAACCCACAACCCAGAGAUCGAGUCUCCUGCUCUACUGACAGAGCCAGCCAGGCAUCCCUGGGUUUUUGUUUUUGUUUUCUUGGGUAGAAAAGUAUGGAAAUGAAACGGGGCGGCGAUUGAUCGCCAUACUAACUCCAGUUUAAACUGCUGAGUGUCUCCUAUCUUACUCAAUACUGCUUCUUGCUCUUCCCUGCUAGCUAUCUUUAAAAUUAUAGUACACCUUGAAGUCAAACUCACCUAAGAUUCAGCAUAUAAUAUUAUAGUUACAGAGGAGUCAAAGAUGAAAAUAUAUAGUCCUGUGUUAAAAGAACUUAUACUCUUCAUAAAAUUGAAAAAAUAUAAGACAUAGGUAGCUUAUAUGCCCUCUUGGAUACUGUUGGCCUUGCCUUCUCUGUAUUCCAGCCAUCAACUCCUCCUUGGAAGCUUCUAUGGUAUACCUAUUCUAUGUCUCACAUGAUUCUGUUGUCUGGAUUGAACUAAUUGCUUGUCUAAGAACAUUGGCUUUGGGCAGCCUGGGUGGGCCAGCGGUUUAGCGCCGCCUUCAGCCCAGGGUGUGAUCCUGGAGAUCCAGGAUUGAGUCCCAUGUCAGGCUCCCUGCAUGGGGCCUGCUUCUCCCUCUGCCUGUGUCUCUACCUCUCUCUCUCUGUGUCUCUCAUGAAUAAAUAAAUAAAAUCUUAAAAAAAAAAAAAAAAGAACAUUGGCCUUUCACUUGGGUUAUCACUGUGUAGCCAGGUAAGCAGCCAUACAUCCAGAGUCUCUGGUUGCUUCUCUCAUUUAUGGGCUUAGAUGAAACACUUCACCACAGGGCAUGGGAUCUGGCUUCCUGAUCAGUCAGAUGCCAUAUCCAGAAGCACAGGAUCCUGAGCCAGUGGAAGCCAGGAGACCAGAGGGAGCCAAUUCUCUGCUAAGAAUUCUCUCUCCUCUUUUCCUCCCCUCCUUUCUCAGACAGUUUCCCAGUGUGCCUGAGCAGAUGAAAACUGGCAAGUGAUUGUCUUAGUCUCUCCAUGGCUCAUUAUGGAGUAGUGACCAACGUGGUGACCUUGUGUUACCUACCCUUCUCACACGUACCUUCUGUCGCCCUCAUUUUCACUGCCCUGGGAUUGCAUUUCCCAUACAAAGUUUAUCACUUAAUUCAUGCAUCAGGCUCUGCUUUUGAGGAAUGAAUGGACGCCAGAGCUCCAAAAUUUGAGACUCUUAAGCAAAAGAAUGAAAGGGGAGUCAUUAGGCUUAAAAGAAGAAAAGACCUAGAAUAAGAAGAGUUCUUACAUAUCCCCUGUUCUUUCUGAUACCUGACCAUCAUUCUCCACACAAACCUCCUCCCUGCACCAUCCUCCUCCCCCAAUGCACACUGCCCCCUACUAGAACUAAAAUUAUUUUGCCUUCAGGACUAGCAUUUAACCCAGCAUUUCCCUUCCACUGACUGUUUUGCCUAAAAGAAAAAAAAAAUCACUUUAACUGUUGAUAAAUCCUUUCAUUCCACAAUUAGAGAUAAGAAGCUAAAAAUAUAAAUAACUGAAUCAGUUUUAGCUAUAAAGGAUGACAUCACACUCAUUCCUGGUUAGAUGGAGGAAGAGAGUGGCAGGGCAAAAAUGCAGUGGGCCCUUGGAAGGGGACAGAGCAGCCUGGAGGCAGGACAGAUGAUUUUAUCCAAUUAUGUGAUUUGUUCACGGCUCUGCACUGCUCAUCUUCAACUGAGACUAAGCAAAGAACGGCCGGACAUGGCAGUCCUGUGGGGACAUACAUAGGCAAAUUAUAAUGGAAACUAUGAUCAGAUAAUAGGCUUAAGCAGAGAUCUAAUCCAUGAUAGAAUAUUUAUUAAAAUUGGAAAGAAUUCCAUAUGUGGAAUGUCAAGUGUAUUAAAUAAGGGAAUUAUAAUGCUGGACAUUAUAGAACUGAAUGAGUAUUAUAGUUCAAAUUUUGUCGCAACAAAUGCUAUUUCAAGGAAAUCCUUUAUGGAAGAAAAUCUAAAUCUAAUCCUGGAGUGAUAGUCCAUCUAUUUAAAAUCAAGUUUGUUGCACUUUAUCAGCCAAACACAGAUAGGCUCUUAAAGUUCAUUGUAUAAGGUAUAGUCCAUAGGUGUGUGAGAUACUAGAGAGGAAGCUCAAUAAGAACGGAUGAUGGAUAGUUGGAAGGCAGGCCGGCAGGCACAAGGAGCAGCCUGCCCCCCCCCACUCCUGGAAGGAGCCCUCCACUUUCUCCCAAGUGAUGGAUAGGUGACAGAAACCCAACUGGAUGACAGGCACAGGAAAGGUUAAUCUGAUUAAAGCACAUCAUAAAAACCUGUAGAUUUAGAAACUCUUGGCAACCCUCUCGGGUCCCCUCCCUCCUCAGGAGCUGUGUACCAUCACUUUGCUAUUGCUCAAUAAACUUUGCUUUGCUACCUACCUCUCUGUCUGCUCUGCCUCUUCAUUCUUCAGAGCAGCAUGACCAAGAACCAUGGGCACCGAUGUAGGAAAAACCCUGUAACACUGACAGUGUUUGAAGUGAAAAAUUGCAAUCCUAUGACGUUCCUAAGUGUGGCUAUUAUUAAAAUCAGUUUCUCUGUAUACACCCCAAAAUUUUACUCUCUUCACUUUGUUGAUUGCCUUUAUUUGCCUAUGAUAUUUCAGUUGUGUCAUCAAUAUUGAUGAACAAGAUCAUCAAAUUAUAUAUGUUGUUGUUUAAGCCUAUGUGUGUUGUAGCUAUUUAAUAUCACAAAUCCCUGUCCUAAUUAAUCCUUUUAGUUACAUCCUAUUUUUCAAACAUGUGGAUGUUUGUUUAGUUGACUUUAGUUAACCUGACAGUGAGAAAAGAAUAUGCCUGCAUCAUAUGAAUGUCUUCCAUGAAACAAAAGGAACCUAUUCAUGACAGUUAAAAACUCCCCAUAGUCCCAUAAGCUAAUUAAAAUGAAGUAGAGUCACACUAGGUAGCAAUAACAGAUUAAUAUUUAAUUCAUAAUAACUACUUUUAGGAGCGCCUGGGGUGGCUCAGUUGGUUAAGCAUCAGCUCAGGUCAUGGUCUCUGGUCUCAGGGUUAUGGGAUUGAGCCUCUCCACCCCCAUUCUGGCUCUGCACUCACUAGGGACUCCUUUGAGAUUCUCUCCCUCCCUGCACUUGUACUCCUCAAGUAGAAAGUUGAGAACCUCCUCUGUCCUGAUGACAUAGAGAGAGACUGGAAGCAGGGAGUGGAGUGAGAAGGUUACCACAAUGGUCCGGGAAUUUUCUCUCUCUCUCUCUCAAAUAAAUAAAAUCUUUAAAAAAAAAAAUAAGAUAAAUACUUUUAAAUUGCAUUUUCUAUGUUUCCACACCCCAUUGGAAAUAAUCUAUAUUCCAAAAUUCAGUAAUAUGAACUAUUUUUCUAUAGCUGUUAUAAAAAGUAUCAAAAAUUUAAUGGUUUAACACAAUGCAAAGCUUUUAUUUUAUAGUCCUGUAGGUCAGAAGUCUAGUACAAGUCUAACCAGGCUAAAGUCAAAGUGUCUUCAGGUUUAUAUUCCUUUCUCUUGGUUCUAGGGGAGUUUCUACUUCCUUGUUUUUUCAGGUGUUGACAGAAUUCAGCUCAAUGUGGUUAAAGGACUGAGGCCCCAUUUUCUUGUUGGCUGUAAACUGAGGGCCAUUCUUGACUUUUAGAGGCCUUAUAUUCUUUGGCUCAGGGUCCUCUUCCUCCAUCUUAAAAAUCAGCAGUGGUGGGUGGAGUCUUUGUUGCUCAUAUCUCUGAUUACAGCUGGAAGAUUUCUGACUAGAUUGGGCCCACCUGGAUUAUCCACGGUAAUCUGGAUGGACAAUUUCCCAAAGUCAAGGUCUAUAACCUCAAUCAUAUCUGCAAAUCCCCUUUUGCUUAUGGAAAGUGACAUAGUUACAAGUCCCAGAGAUCCGGAUGUAGUCAUCUUUGGGGGUGAUGGGGGGCAUUAUUCUGCCUACCAUACAUAAGGAAGCACGUGAGUGGGGGCACAGAAUAAUGCUCUAGGAGAGAACUGUGCUUUUCACAUUUUCUUUUCAAUAAAAUCUUCUCCCAAACGUUUUCCCUCUAGAUGAUUUAUAGCUCUUGAAAUAUCAUGUAUACUGAUUUAUAGUUCAUAACUAAAGCCAACUGAAGAAAGCCUUCAUCCUGAGGCAUGGCUUACUAGAAAUGUUUUCUGUUGCUAGAAGUUCUGUUGGCCUCUCCUUAUUGGGUCACUAUAUCAACUAGCAUAAAGAGCCUCCUGGCUCUGGACUUCAUGGUCCAACAUUUGGAUCCUACAAACUGCCUUAGAUGUUUAAAUGGAACUAGAACAAGUCUCCAGAAGUAUAUGACUUGACUUGAGACUCCACUCCAAACCUUGGAGUAUCCUAUCAAUGGAAUGGGCUAGUUCUAGGCCUCUCUAAGCGGCUCAAAGUUACUUUUAGGUAGCCUCCAAUGAGGAUCUGAUCUAAUCCAGAUAUUUCAAAGUCAGACUUCCCUGGUGGUCAUUUUUCACUUUGGUCUGGACUAUCGAUUUAAGUUCCUGGACUAUUGUAGUAACCUUCUCACUCCACUCCUUGCUUCUAGUCUCUCUCCAUGUCAUCAGGACGGAGGAGAUUCCCAACUUUCUACUCGAGGAAUACAAUACAUUUCCAAUAAGAGUGCCUCAUUAUGUACUUCUUCUCAAAACAAAGUUCUGUUAAGUUUAUGAAAGAGUCCCAGACGAUUCUGAAUUCCCAAAGGUGGACCAAGUGAUUCUAGAAUCUGCCUUUU